rnacentral:tRNA from 1 species
GGGGAUGUGGCUCAGUGGUGGAGCGCUUGUCUGGCAUACACAAGGCCCUGAGUUUCAUCCUCA